rnacentral:rRNA from 1 species
UACGUAGGGUGCGAGCGUUGUCCGGAAUUAUUGGGCGUAAAGAGCUCGUAGGCGGUCUGUCGCGUCUGCUGUGAAAUCCCGAGGCUCAACCUCGGGCUUGCAGUGGGUACGGGCAGGCUAGAGUGCGGUAGGGGAGAAUGGAACUCCUGGUGUAGCGGUGGAAUGCGCAGAUAUCAGGAAGAACACCGAUGGCGAAGGCAGUUCUCCGGGCCGUAACUGACGCUGAGGAGCGAAAGCGUGGGGAGCGAACAGG